UACAGAGGCCUCGAGCGUUAGGCGGAAUCACUGGGCUUAAAGCGUGUGUAGGUGGAUGCCUAAGUACCUUGUGAAAUCCCACAGCUUAACUGUGGAACUGCUUGGUAUACUGGGUGUCUUGAGCCACUCAGGGGCUACCGGAACAAGCGGUGGAGCGGUGAAAUGCGUAGAUAUCGCUUGGAACGCCAAUGGUGAAAACAGGUAGCUGGGGGUGUGCUGGACACUGAGACACGAAAGCCAGGGGAGCAAACGGG
rnacentral:rRNA from 1 species